ensembl:lncRNA
ACAGAGUGCUAAUUACAGAGACAUGGUUCCUUCAGCUGCUUCAAACUGAUGAGAGCGCUCCAGCCCCUCCUCACCAGCUGCCUAGACCCACCCCCUAUUUUUACAGGUCCUCUGCUCAGCUAGGAAGUGGUACACCCCAUUGUACCCAGUGUUCUGGGAGUAGGCAGUACAAGGGCUGCUGGCUCAGUGAAUCGUUCAGAUUUUUCAGAUCUUGGUUCCACUUGAAUAUGUAUUCCAGGAUUAAGAUAUUGAGAAUUUCUUGUAGGAUAAACUGCUGACAGUUCAGAAUUUGGUGCCCUGGGACCAGGCUCCCCAGCCCAUGUGUGCUGCUCCGAGAGAUUCACUGCUGCUCUUAUAGAAGAGAGAAAAUGAGGGUGCAGCAGUAGAGCUGAAACCAUGGCAGAGGGAAUGGAAACAGAUGAGGUAUUUCCAAGUAGGAACAAGUAAAUUGGCAAAAAAAAAAAAAAAAAAAAAAAGCCAUUUUUCAGCUGAAAUGUUGCUAGAAUGCAAAUUUACAUCUUUAAUUCCCACCCUCCUUCCAACCCCCCAGAUAGUACAGCACCAAAAAAAAAUAUGAGAGUGAGAAGCACGGAAAGCAGUCUGGUGGCAGCAACACUGCUGGUUUUGUUUGAUUUCAGUAUGUCACUGAGGCUGAGAAACAAGUGACUUUGGUCCCUGCCACAUAGGUGAGGUACAGACAAAAAGUAAAUGGCUUACGUCACAGUAGUGGUUCCUAGCAGCGUGCACAAGCCCUACCUCAGUGGAAGGGAAUACAUGAAUAUUCAAAGGCAUUUACCAAAGUAAUGAAGAAAGGAGAAGCAAUGUUUUCCCUUGACUUGGAAUUCCCACUUCUGCUCAGCUGGGAAUGCAAGAAUAAUUAAUCAAAGUGCUUUAAUAAGUUUCUCUCUGCCUUAAUCAGAGCUGUGCAAAUAAAUCAUUUUUCAGUUCAGUAGCUGAACCAAAAUAAUAAUAAUUGUAAAAAUAUUUCUAAGUUGCCUGAAAUGGAACUUCACGCUUUCUCAAAUAUUUUCAGUGAACAGAAAUACAUGAUU